GACGAACGCUGGCGGCGUGCUUAACACAUGCAAGUCGAACGGAAAGGCCCUGCUUUUGUGGGGUGCUCGAGUGGCGAACGGGUGAGUAACACGUGAGUAACCUGCCCUUGACUUUGGGAUAACUUCAGGAAACUGGGGCUAAUACCGGAUAGGAGCUCCUGCUGCAUGGUGGGGGUUGGAAAGUUUCGGCGGUUGGGGAUGGACUCGCGGCUUAUCAGCUUGUUGGUGGGGUAGUGGCUUACCAAGGCUUUGACGGGUAGCCGGCCUGAGAGGGUGACCGGCCACAUUGGGACUGAGAUACGGCCCAGACUCCUACGGGAGGCAGCAGUGGGGAAUAUUGCGCAAUGGGCGGAAGCCUGGUGCAGCAACGCCGCGUGCGGGAUGACGGCCUUCGGGUUGUAAACCGCUUUCGCCUGUGACGAAGCGUGAGUGACGGUAAUGGGUAAAGAAGCACCGGCUAACUACGUG
rnacentral:rRNA from 1 species